CCUACGGGGGGCAGCAGUGGGGAAUAUUGCACAAUGGGGGGAACCCUGAUGCAGCGACGCCGCGUGAGUGAAGAAGUAUUUCGGCAUGUAAAGCUCUAUCAGCAGGGAAGAAAAUGACGGUACCUGACCAAGAAGCCCCGGCUAACUACGUGCCAGCAGCCGCGGUAAUACGUAGGGGGCAAGCGUUAUCCGGAUUUACUGGGUGUAAAGGGAGCGUAGACGGUAAUGCAAGUCCGGAGUGAAAGCCCAGGGCCCAACCACGGGACUGCUUUUGAAACUGCAUGGCUGGAGUGCAGGAGAGGUAGGCGGAAUGCCUAGUGUAGCGGUGAAAUGCGUAGAUAUUAGGAGGAACACCGGUGGCGAAGGCGGCAUACUGGACUGUAACUGACGUUGAGGCUCGAAGGCGUGGGGAGCAAACAGGAUUAGAUACCCUAGUAGUC
rnacentral:rRNA from 1 species